GAUGAACGCUGGCGGCGUGCCUAAUACAUGCAAGUCGAGCGAACAGACGAGGAGCUUGCUCCUCUGACGUUAGCGGCGGACGGGUGAGUAACACGUGGAUAACCUACCUCUAAUACUGGGAUAACUUCGGGAAACCGGAGCUAAUAACGGAUAAUAUAUUGAACCGCAUGGUUCAAUAGUGAAAGACGGUUUUGCUGUCACUUAUAGCUGGAUCCGCGCCGCAUUAGCUAGUUGGUAAGGUAACGGCUUACCAAGGCAACGAUGCGUAGCCGACCUGAGAGGAUGAUCGGCCACACUGGAACUGAGACACGGUCCAGACUCCUACGGGAGGCAGCAGUAGGGAAUCUUCCGCAAUGGGCGAAAGCCUGACGGAGCAACGCCGCGUGAGUGAUGAAGGUCUUCGGAUCGUAAAACUCUGUUAUUAGGGAAGAACAAAUGUGUAAGUAACUAUGCACGUCUUGACGGUACCUAAACAGAAAGCCACGGCUAACUACGUG
rnacentral:rRNA from 1 species